GAAGUGCACCACGUAAUUAAAUUGUUGUUUUUGUUGUUUUUGUUUAUAUUAUUAUUAUUAUUAUUGUUAUUGGUUACUCGUUCACAAACAGAGGAUCAGAAAGAUACAGUAGUGCAGUACAAAAGAGAAGUGCACCAAUUAUUCGUAGACAAAGAGAGAGUCAGAAAGAUUGUACAAUAUGAUAGAGAAGUGCACCAGUUACUCGUACACAAGUAGUGGGUCAGAAAGUUAUUACAGUACAAAAGACUGAAGUUCACCAGUUACUCGUACACAAGGAGAGGGUCAGAAAGAUAGUAUAGUACAGAAGAG